rnacentral:rRNA from 1 species
GCCUGCCCGGUGACUUAUUAUGUUUUAACGGCCGCGGUAUCUUGACCGUGCAAAGGUAGCGCAAUCACUUCGCCCUUUAAAUGGGGGCCCGUAUGAAUGGCAUCACGAGGGCUAAUCUGUCUCCUUUCUCCAGUCAAUGAAAUUGAUCUCCCCGUGCAGAAGCGGGGAUAACCCCAUAAGACGAGAAGACCCUGUGGAGCUUUAGAUACUAGAACUGCCUCUCCUUUAAUAUAGUUAACACAAAGACAUCCAAAUAAGAGACACAGUCUGACUAUCUUUGGUUGGGGCGACCGCGGGGAUUAAAAAAACCCCCAUGUGGAGCAGGAAUAUAAUAUUCCCAAAACCAAGAGUUACCACUCUAACUAACAGAAAUUCUGACCUAAAAAUGAUCCGACAAAGUCGAUCAACGGACCGAGUUACCCCAGGGAUAACAGCGCAAUCCCCUUUAAGAGUUCUUAUCGACAAGGGGGUUUACGACCUCGAUGUUGGAUCAGGACACCCCAAUGGCGCAGCAACUAUUAAAGGUUCGUUUGUUCAACG